GGGUGCAAGCGUUAAUCGGAAUUACUGGGCGUAAAGCGUGCGCAGGCGGUUUUGUAAGUCUGACGUGAAAUCCCCGGGCUCAACCUGGGAAUUGCGUUGGAGACUGCAAGGCUGGAGUCUGGCAGAGGGGGGUAGAAUUCCACGUGUAGCAGUGAAAUGCGUAGAGAUGUGGAGGAACACCGAUGGCGAAGGCAAUCCCCUGGGCCUGCACUGACGCUCAUGCACGAAAGCGUGGGGAGCAAACAGG
rnacentral:rRNA from 1 species